rnacentral:rRNA from 1 species
AUACGUAGGUGACAAGCGUUAUCCGGAUUUACUGGGCGUAAAGGGCGUGUAGGCGGUCUUGCAAGUCAGAAGUGAAAUUCCUGAGCUCAACUCGGGCGCUGCUUCUGAAACUGCAGGACUUGAGUGCUGGAGGGGAUAGCGGAAUUCCUAGUGGAGCGGUAAAAUGCGCAGAUAUUAGGAAGAACACCGGUGGCGAAGGCGGCUAUCUGUGCAGUAACUGACACUGAGGCGCGAAAGCGUGGGGAGCAAACAGGAUUAGAUACCCUGGGAGACCACGCCGUAAACGAUGAAUACUAGGUGUAGGGGGUAUCGACUCCCUCUGUGCCGCAGUUAACACAAUAAGUAUUCCGCCUGGGGAGUACGGCCGCAAGGUUGAAACUCAAAUGAAUUGACGGGG